ACUCCUACUGGAGGCAGCAGUGGGGAAUUUUGGACAAUGGGCGAAAGCCUGACGGAGCAACGCCGCGUGAGGGAUGAAGGCCUCUGGGCUGUAAACCUCUUUUCUCAAGGAAGAAGAUCUGACGGUACUUGAGGAAUAAGCCACGGCUAAUUCCGUGCCAGCAGCCGCGGUAAUAC
rnacentral:rRNA from 1 species